rnacentral:rRNA from 1 species
UGCUAAUACCGCAUGACAUAUCGGAACUACAUGGUUUUGAUAUCAAAGAUUUUAUCGCUUGAAGAUGGACUCGCGUCCGAUUAGUUAGUUGGUGAGGUAACGGCUCACCAAGACCGCGAUCGGUAGCCGGACUGAGAGGUUGAACGGCCACAUUGGGACUGAGACACGGUCCAGACUCCUACGGGAGGCAGCAUG